AGACUGAGAAAGCCAUGUGGAGCAAGCCAGUAAACAGCACUCCUCCACAGCCUCUGCAUCAGCUCCUGCUCCAGGUUCCUGCCUCAUGUUUGGCUGAAAGUGGAUAAAGCUCUAUUGUAAGAGACCCCGUGGGGUAGAAAGCAGGAAGAGCUGUGUAGUUUGAAGCAACAAGCCAGAAAGACAUAUCCUAUGUUCCUGGCCUGUGUGUACCUCUGUACCUGGGGACCAUUCAUGUUCCUUCAUGGACCAGAUCACAUCUACUGGCGUGGAGACCAGAGGCCAGAUUUAAGCUUUUCUUGCAGUCUCCGUGACAUUGGGCUGUAUGUGCCUCAUUAGAUGGGAUUCCAUCCAGUGCGUCCCAGGAACCGCCCUGCCAUCUCACUUAAGAUUCUUAGCAACCUGUCAUCCUGGGUCACAGACGCUCGUUCGCUCACUCCAUCGUGGACCAGCAGCUGUCAGCCAGUGCUGCCCACAGCUGUGUUCUCUGCCUCAUGCUGCUUUGCAGACCAUUGAAAGCAUCUCCCGCUCAGUGAGAGUCCCCACCAAGGGAGAGGAAUCAGAGCCUGUGGUUGUAAUUCAUCACCUCGACCUUUCUCGCAACUCCUUUCUGGAUACAAGUAGUGGUGAUGACCUGCCUCCAGCUGGCCCUGAGGAUUCAACAGAGGAAUGGCAGCAAGACCCGACUACUGUCCAGGGGCUGCUGCUGACCGCGGUACAAAGCGAGCAGUGAAGGCGUACAAGAAGUCCGAGUGCCAUGCUACUGCAACUGAGCAUCCAGGCUAUGAAGUGCAAUCCGGCUACGCUGCCCAGCACCAGAACACAUGCUAGCUUCUGGUAGAGUUUGGACUAUAAAGAACCACCAGCUGGAGGCUCCUGGGUUUUGAGCGCUGGUAGCUCUCUGAAGCUUAAGUGAGGAUUUCUUGCAAUUCCCUUCUGUCUUGUCACAUGCUUAAAAACAAGUCAAAAACUUCACAGUUUUCACAGCUUGUAUAAUUUAACCAUUUGGGAUUCAUUUUAAAUUUGGGGCUAGUAUAACUCCUUGAUUGCAUUGAACUGUAAAGAGCCAAAAAAGGGGGGGAGGGGAGUAUCACAAAUUGGACUUGGCGCGCUUAAAAGACAAGAAAGAACAUGAAGUUGGGUGAGUAGGGAGGUGGGGGUAGCUCUCGGAGGAGUUGGCAGAGGGAAUGAAUAUUAUUAAAAUACAUUGUAUGAAACUGUCAAA
rnacentral:lncRNA from 1 species